rnacentral:rRNA from 1 species
GUCUACAGCCAUGCCACACUGAACGUGCCUGAUCUUGUCUGAUCUCAGAAGCUAAGCAGGGUCCGGCCUGAUUAGUACUUGGAUGGGAUUCCAUCUAGGAAUACCAGGUGCUGUAGGUG